rnacentral:rRNA from 1 species
UACGUAGGGGGCAAGCGUUGUCCGGAAUCAUUGGGCGUAAAGCGCGUGUAGGCGGCCCGGUAAGUCCGCUGUGAAAGUCGGGGGCUCAACCCUCGAAUGCCGGUGGAUACUGUCGGGCUAGAGUGCGGGAGAGGCGAGUGGAAUUCCUGGUGUAGCGGUGAAAUGCGUAGAUAUCAAGUGGAACACCAGUGGCGAAGGCGAGUCCCUGGACAACUCCUGACACUGGAGGCAACGAAAGCUAGGGGAGCAAACAGG